UACGAAGGGGCUAGCGUUGCUCGGAAUCACUGGGCGUAAAGGGUGCGUAGGCGGGUUUUUAAGUCAGGGUGAAAUCCUGGAGCUCAACUCCAGAACUGCCUUUGAUACUGAAGAUCUUGAGUCCGGAGAGGUGAGUGGAACUGCGAGUGUAGAGGUGAAAUUCGUAGAUAUUCGCAAGAACACCAGUGGCGAAGGCGGCUCACUGGCCCCGGUACUGACGCUGAGGCUACGAAAGCGUGGGGAAGCAAA
rnacentral:rRNA from 1 species